rnacentral:rRNA from 1 species
GAGUUUGAUCCUGGCUCAGGACGAACGCUGGCGGCGUGCUUAACACAUGCAAGUCGAACGGAAAGGCCCCGCUCGCGGGGUACUCGAGUGGCGAACGGGUGAGUAACACGUGGGUGAUCUGCCCUGCACUUCGGGAUAAGCCUGGGAAACUGGGUCUAAUACCGGAUAUGACCUCCCUUUAGUGUGGGGGGUGGAAAGAUUUAUCGGUGCUGGAUGAGCCCGCGGCCUAUCAGCUUGUUGGUGGGGUAAUGGCCUACCAAGGCGUCGACGGGUAGCCGGCCUGAGAGGGUGGACGGCCACAUUGGGACUGAGAUACGGCCCAGACUCCUACGGGAGGCAGCAGUGGGGAAUAUUGCGCAAUGGGCGGAAGCCUGAUGCAGCGACGCCGCGUGGGGGAUGACGGCCUUCGGGUUGUAAACCUCUUUCGACAGGGACGAAGUGAAAAUGACGGUACCUGUAUGAGAAGCACCGGCUAACUACGUGCCAGCAGCCGCGGUAAUACGUAGGGUGCGAGCGUUGUCCGGAAUUACUGGGCGUAAAGAGCUCGUAGGUGGUUUGUCACGUCGUCUGUGAAAUUCCGGGGCUUAACCUCGGGCGUGCAGGCGAUACGGGCAAUACUUGAGUGCUGUAGGGGAGACUGGAAUUCCUGGUGUAGCGGCGAAAUGCGCAGAUAUCAGGAGGAACACCAAUGGCGAAGGCAGGUCUCUGGGCAGUUACUGACGCUGAGGAGCGAAAGCAUGGGUAGCGAACAGGAUUAGAUACCCUGGUAGUCCAUGCCGUAAACGGUGGGCGCUAGGUGUAGGGGACUUCCACGUUCUCUGUGCCGUAGCUAACGCAUUAAGCGCCCCGCCUGGGGAGUAUGGCCGCAAGGCUAAAACUCAAAGGAAUUGACGGGGGCCCGCACAAGCGGCGGAGCAUGUGGAUUAAUUCGAUGCAACGCGAAGAACCUUACCUGGGUUUGACAUACACCGGACCGGCGUAGAGAUACGUCUUCCCUUGUGGCCGGUGUACAGGUGGUGCAUGGUUGUCGUCAGCUCGUGUCGUGAGAUGUUGGGUUAAGUCCCGCAACGAGCGCAACCCUUGUCUUAUGUUGCCAGCACGUGAUGGUGGGGACUCAUGAGAGACUGCCGGGGUCAACUCGGAGGAAGGUGGGGAUGACGUCAAAUCAUCAUGCCCCUUAUGUCCAGGGCUUCACACAUGCUACAAUGGUCGGUACAGCAGGUCGCGAACUCGUGAGAGUAAGCCAAUCCUUCAAAGCCGGCCUCAGUUCGGAUUGGGGUCUGCAACUCGACCCCAUGAAGUCGGUGUCGCUAGUAAUCGCAGAUCAGCAACGCUGCGGUGAAUACGUUCCCGGGCCUGUACACAC